GGAACUGCUCAGCAGGUGGAAAUAAACAAGCUCCUGCAAGACCUGGCAAGUGAGCGGGAAAGGCACCAUGCAGAGAUGCAGGAGACGCUGCAGCAAUGGGGAAAAGAGAAGGCAGAGAGAGAGCAGGAGCACGAGAAGGUGCUGUUUGAGAUGAGGCAGAAAGUUGCCACCCUGCAGGCUCAAAGAGAAGAGGAACGAACUAGAUUUGAAAAUGCCAAGCGAGAGGUCCUGCUGGAAAAGCAGAAGGAGAAGAAUUCUUUAUCAAAGACACUGCUCCAAACUCAG